rnacentral:rRNA from 1 species
UACAGAGGUCUCAAGCGUUGUUCGGAUUUAUUGGGCGUAAAGGGCGCGUAGGCGGCGGGGUAAGUCGGGUGUGAAAUCUCAGGGCUCAACCCUGAAACUGCACUUGAUACUGCUCUGCUUGAGGACUGGAGAGGAGACUGGAAUUCACGGUGUAGCAGUGAAAUGCGUAGAUAUCGUGAGGAAGACCAGUGGCGAAGGCGGAUCUCUGGACAAAUCCUGA